rnacentral:tRNA from 2 species
GAACCUGGCGGGGACACUAUGAACUGCUAAUUACAUAGUUCCGUGGUUCAACUCCACGGCUUGUUCG